rnacentral:rRNA from 1 species
GCUAUCCUACGGGGCGCAGCAGUGGGGAAUAUUGCACAAUGGGGGAAACCCUGAUGCAGCGACGCCGCGUGAGCGAGGAAGUACCUCGGUAUGUAAAGCUCUGUCAGCAGGGAAGAUAAUGACAGUACCUGACCAAGAAGCCCCGGCUAACUACGUGCCAGCAGCCGCGGUAAUACGUAGGGGGCAAGCGUUAUCCGGAUUUACUGGGUGUAAAGGGCGCGUAGGCGGGAAUGCAAGUCAGAUGUGAAAUCCAUGGGCUUAACCCAUGAACUGCAUUUGAAACUGUAUUUCUUGAGUGUCGGAGA